GCAGCAGUGGGUCAGUGGUAGAACUCUCGCCUUUCAUGUGGGAGACCCAGGUUCAAUUACUGGCCAAUGCA
rnacentral:tRNA from 1 species